rnacentral:rRNA from 1 species
GACGAACGCUGGCGGCGUGCUUCAAACAUGCAAGUCGAACGGAGUUAAUGGGGCUUGCCCCAUUAACUUAGUGGCGGACUGGUGAGUAACGCGUGAGCAACCUGCCUAUUACAGGGGGAUAACAGAGGGAAACUUCUGCUAAUACCGCAUAAGACCACAGCUAGGCAUCUAGUAGGGGUCAAAGGAGAAAUCCGGUAAUAGAGGGGCUUGCGUUUCAUUAGCUAGUUGGUAAGGGUAACGGCCUACCAAGGCAACGAUGAAUAGCCGACCUGAGAGGGUGAUCGGCCACACUGGAACUGAGAUACGGUCCAG